UGGGGGAUAUUGCACAAUGGGGGAAACCCGUGAUGCAGCGACGCCGCGUGGGUGAAGGAGCACUUCGGUGCGUAAAGCCCUAUCGGCAGGGAAGAAAAGGGGGAAACCCCAGACGGUACCUGACUAAGAAGCCCCGGCUAACUACGUGCC
rnacentral:rRNA from 1 species